GUAAUUUUAAAAGAAAUAAGGCAGGCAUGAUGGCACAUACUUGGAGUUCCAGCUGCUUGGGAGGCUGAGGUAGGAGAUCAUUUGAGCCCACCAAGCUGGCCUUGAACUCAUGGCAAUCUUUCUGCUUCAGGCUCCCAAAUGCUGGUAUUACAGGUGAGCUAUUUAGGACCUGUGCUUUCCAGCCUGGGCCAGUUGGGACCAUAUGUAAAUGGACUGAAAACAGGCAGUUAAAACAUCAACCCUACCAGGAGAGGGGAGAAAUUCAAAUGCAGAUCAGCAGGACACUACCUCCAAAAUGCCAAGUCACAGACCAGCAACAGGUGUUAUAAGCUGCAUUAGUGACCACCAGAGAGAGAAAUUCCUAAUUACCAAGCGCCUCUGAUCGCUCCGUGUCACUAGAGCCUGGGAGCUGAACGCGAGAUCUAAAGUUGACGCACACGUGAAAGUCUGGAUCAGGCAUUUGACCUUUUUUCCACCGGCCCCCAGAAUUUAAGGAAG
ensembl:lncRNA